rnacentral:lncRNA from 1 species
GUAUCUCAAGCAGCAUGAGAUGAAGGAUCUGCGUGAAAAUGAUGAUGCCAUAGCCCAAUGGUGUAGAGAUAUCUAUGUGGCCAAGGUUUGUCCUUGUUACGUAUCCUUGCCAAAAUUCUAUCAAUAAGAAAAUUAUCCUUGCCAAAAUAUUUUUUGUGGAAUGAUCCUUUCUUGUGCUUAUUUGUGAUGUCUAAAAAGCACUUUUGGUGUUGUCUUGUGACCUGCUUUCCACCAGUAAGUUAUUGGACAAACAUAUUGCCGAAGACACUUUUGGAGAAGAAAAGUUGCAAGACAAUGCCACCCAAUCAAAUCCCUUGUGGUAAGAUACUUUCUGAUUAUGCCGGGGAUAUUUCAAUUCCUUCCUUAUAUCAAACUAUCUGUUGUCUCUCCUAAAUAACAGGUAGUCGCAUCUUGGGCAUGCAUUCUUAUCUUAGAACCAUAAAAAUCUUACAAGCAACUGCCUUGUUGUCAUCAUGGAAGGGUGUUGCAAUAUCAGCUGCUCUCAUAGCUGUUACAGUUCUCAUGCAAAUUUUGAUUAAUUUCUCGAAGUCAGAACGCUCUACAGCUGCCCAAGGUUGCAUCAGGAAAGAUAAAGAAUAUGAAUCAGGCUUAGAGGAAAUGGGCAGGAGGACAAAACACACUAAUUAUGAUUUUCAUCUGAUAUGGUAAAUGAACCCUAAGGUUAUAGCCUUGAUCAUGAGAAUUGCAAAGAUGUUUGUAAUAUGUAGUAAGCUGCGUGUCUAUUUUAGACCCGUAAUUAUUUGGCCAAAGUGAACUAACUUGUGUUCAUUUUUGUUUCUAAAGAUGCAGAUUCCAUGUUUGGUCUAAUUCAUUAAUUGUUACAGUUGUGUCUAUGAUGUUGGUAAACUGCAUCUGUGUUGAUGUCCUGGGGAAACUGAAAUGACUUUUAGUAAGAGCAGUAAACAAAUCAUAAGUAGAUGUUUUAAAGAUUGGCAUGAGUCAACAUUUGAUUCCUUGAGCGGUGAAUGGGCUAAGGAGACAAUUGAGUCUUGAAUGAGAGUCGGUUGGUGUGUUAAAAUUGUCCACACAUCGCGUCGUUACACCAGAUAGUAUCAACUUCCCAAGGAUAAUUUCCAUUGUUAGCUUAAUAAUUUAGGUUCUUCUUUGCAAGGAUUUGUUGUUUGAUCUGUUCUAGAGAUCUAGAUCCCUUUCUAAUCUAGCUCAGCUUUCAAUUGCUACCUUUAUCUUUCUUCAAUCUAUUACACUGUUACCUUCUAUCACUGAGAGAGUUGCAAGCAAACAGCGUAUCAAAAUUUAUUAAGUUAAUUACAUUGAACACCACUAUAAUGUUUUUUUUUGUUACUGGAUACACCCCAUACAUUUCAUAAUCAAAUAUGCCUCUUAUCAAGGUGAGGAUUCAUGGUGUAUAUUAUUUGUGGAUGAUAUAGUUUUGAUUGAUGAAACUUGGCGGUUGGAGGUCGGAAAAGCAUACGCUCGACUCUAAAGGGUUUAGAUUGAGCAAGUCCAAGAUUAAAUACAUGAAGUGCGAGUUCAACAUCGUAACACAUGUGACUAGUGUAGAAGUGAGGGUUGAUACACAUAUUGCGUAAAAGAGAGUAAGUCUCAAAUAUCUUGGAUCUAUUAUCCAAGAAAAAUAAGAAGAUUGACUAGGAUGUCACUCACUUUAUUGGUACAUGGUGGAUAGGGAUGGCAAUGGGGCGGGGAGGAUGCGGGGUGGGGCGGGUUUAAGGCUAUACGGGGUGGCGGGUUUAAGGUUGUGCAGGGUGGGUUUAAGUGGGGUUUUUUAAAACGGGGCAGGGCGGGUUGUGGGUAUAUGUGAUUUUAUGUGGGUUUAAAUUUAAUUUUAAUUUUUUACAUGUUAUAAGAGUGAUAGAGCAUUGUUUAUUAAGAUAAUUUCUUUAAAGCUACUAAAAUAUUCAAGAUAGUAAAUGAAAAUGGUUCAAAAAUAAUAAUUCAAUUUCUUAUAUGUUUUCCAAUUGACCUCUAAAAAAUAAAAUUUUAAGUCACUACCCUAUUAAAUUAAUACAACUUAAUGAAAAAAUGAAUUUAUGUUUAUGAAUUUUGUUUUUAGUAUCAAACUUAACUAAAAAAGAAAAUAUUAAAAAAAUUAUUAUGGGCGGGUUCAUGCGGAGCGGCUCUAUGCGAGGCAGGUUGAAAAUGAAAAAAAAUGUUAUGCGGGGUGGGUCGAAUUAACAUUUUUACGGGUUAAGCUCAACCCGCCUCGCCCACACCCCGCACUGCCCCAUUGCCAUCCCUAAUGGUGGAUGAAAUGGAGUGCGCACAUUCAGUCUUAUGUGAUAAAGAAGAUGCUACCAAAACUUAAAGAUAAGUUCUACAAAGUCAAAGCGGCUUUAUUACCAGUAGGUAGAUUACUAAAAAUGUUAUCUUGCUCAAGCAAUUGUUCAUGGAAUGUCUAAACCUAAUGUUGGUUGUAAUAUUGUUAUCAAAUUAGAUGUGGCUAAAACUUGUGAUAGAAUGUUAAAAUUUUCUUAUAGCAGUCGUUAAAAGAUCUGUUUAUCAGAAAAAUGGAUCAUUCUUAUAUGAAAUCUUAUUUCGAAUGUUUGGUACUUUAUUUUGAUUAAUGACUCUAGAUAUGACUAAUUCUUCUCGUCCUAAGGUCUCAAACAUGGUAAUCCUCUAUCCCCCUCUAUUUUUAUUUUGGGUGCAGAGGUUUUUUCUAGAUCUCUAAAUAGAAUCAAUCACCUUGCUUGCUAUGCUUUGCAGAUUAUGCCGGAUACAUGGUGUAACAUCUCGUUGAAUUAUAUCCUAAAUAUUUGAACCGUUCAUCAUAAGUGUAUUAGAUUGGACCAGGUGAGAUCCUACUUGUUUAUGUGUUAAGGUUCAUUUCCAAGUGUAGGAAGUGUAUCGAAUGUGGUUUAGGGUCAUAAGAG